GAUGAACGCUGGCGGCGUGCCUAAUACAUGCAAGUCGAGCGAACGGACGAGAAGCUUGCUUCUCUGAUGUUAGCGGCGGACGGGUGAGUAACACGUGGAUAACCUACCUAUAAGACUGGGAUAACUUCGGGAAACCGGAGCUAAUACCGGAUGAUAUUUUGAACCGCAUGGUUCAAAAGUGAAAGACGGUCUUGCUGUCACUUAUAGAUGGAUCCGCGCUGCAUUAGCUAGUUGGUAAGGUAACGGCUUACCAAGGCAACGAUGCAUAGCCGACCUGAGAGGGUGGUCGGCCACACUGGAACUGAGACACGGUCCAGACUCCUACGGGAGGCAGCAGUAGGGAAUCUUCCGCAAUGGGCGAAAGCCUGGCGGAGCAACGCCGCGUGAGUGAUGAAGGUCUUCGGAUCGUAAAACUCUGUUAUUAGGGAAGAACAUAUGUGUAAGUAACUGUGCACAUCUUGACGGUACCUAAUCAGAAAGCCACGGCUAACUACGUG
rnacentral:rRNA from 1 species